rnacentral:rRNA from 1 species
UACGUAUGGAGCAAGCGUUAUCCGGAUUUACUGGGUGUAAAGGGAGCGUAGGCGGCAUACCAAGCCUGAUGUGAAAACCCGGGGCCCAACCCCGGGAGUGCAUUGGGAACUGGCAAGCUAGAGUGUCGGAGAGGCAGGCGGAAUUCCUAGUGUAGCGGUGAAAUGCGUAGAUAUUAGGAGGAACACCAGUGGCGAAGGCGGCCUGCUGGACGAUGACUGACGUUGAGGCUCGAAAGCGUGGGGAGCAAACAGG